GCCUUAUCAAGCUUGUGCCAGGAGCAUUUACGCGGGGAAAUCAGUCCACCGGACUGAUUUCCGAUCCCGCUUCGAUGCGUCGGAUAAUGCGUAAAAACAAAGAGAUAGAGCGGUUCCAACGUUUCCGUUUUAACCGGAACCGCUCUAGUCGAACAGGCUCGACACCGACUCUUCCGCUGCCGUGCGGGC
rnacentral:misc_RNA from 1 species